GCUGGGUAUAGUGGCACAUGCCUGUGGUCCCAGCUACGCCAGAGGCUAAGGCAGGAGGACCACUUGAGCCCAGGAGUUUGGGGCAAGCCUGGACAACAUAGAGAGACCCCCAUCUUAA
rnacentral:sRNA from 1 species